UUUCUGUCGGGGGCCAGGAAUACAGCACCAAGGAUAAAAGCACUUGCUGCGGAAGCUGAUGACUCCAGAACCUAAGCUAAAAGCCAGGGUGGUGGUGUGCUUCUGAAAUCCCAGAAUUCCUAUGGUAAGAUGGCAGGCGGAAGGAGAAUCGGCUGGAAGCUAGACUGGAGUCUGCAGCACACAGAAGAAACAAGAGAGACCCUGCCUCACUAGACGGAGGAAGGAACUGCUUCCAGAAAUAACGUUCUCCAAGGGCACAGCUGAUUCUCUAUGACCAGCCGCUUCCUGUUCCUGCUGCCAUGACAGACUGGAUCCCCUUGACCUGUGAGCUGAAAUAAGCCCUUUCUCCUGCAAAGGCAGUGAGAAGACAAGCUGAUGAAAAGUUUGGUUAUCUGGGACUCAUCAAAUCAGCCUUAUGAAGCAG